rnacentral:rRNA from 1 species
CACAUGCAAGUCGAGCGGUAGAAUUUAAAAAGAUCCUUCGGGUGAUUUUUAAAUUUGAGAGCGGCGAACGGGUGAGUAACACGUUGGUAUCUGCCCCUAAGUCAGGGAUAGCCAGAGGAAACUCUGAUUAAUACCGGAUAGUCUCUUCGGAGUAAAGAUUUAUCGCUUAGGGAGGAGCCUGCGGUCUAUCAGCUAGUUGGUAAGGUAAUGGCUUACCAAGGCUAUGACGGAUACCUGGUCUGAGAGGAUGGUCAGGCACAAUGGAACUGAGACACGGUCCAUACUCCUACGGGAGGCAGCAGUGAGGAAUCUUCCACAAUGGGCGAAAGCCUGAUGGAGCGACACCGCGUGAAGGAUGAAGGCCUAACGGUUGUAAACUUCUUUUCUGAAGGAGCAUAAUGAGAGUACUUCAGGAAUAAGGGACGGCUAACUACGUGCCAGCAGCCGCGGUAUACGUAGGUCCCAAGCGUUACUCGAAUUACUGGGCGUAAAGCGUUCGUAGGUGGGAAAGUAAG